rnacentral:rRNA from 1 species
CAGUAGCCACGGUAAAACGUAGGCGGCAAGCGUUGUCCGGAAUUAUUGGGCGUAAAGAGAGCGCAGGUGGGACGGUAAGUCCGUCUUAAAAGGCAGGGGCUCAGCCCCUGUAAGGGAUGGAAACUAUCGAUCUUGAGUACCGGAGAGGAAAGCGGAAUUCCCAGUGUAGCGGUGAAAUGCGUAGAUAUUGGGAAGAACACCAGUGGCGAAGGUGGCUUUCUGGACGGCAACUGACACUGAGGCUCGAAAGCCAGGGGAGCGAACGGGAUUAGAUACCCCCGUAGUCCCUGUCUCUUAUACA